rnacentral:rRNA from 1 species
GGUAGUAAGUAUAGGCGGUAGAGCACUGAUCGGGCUAGGGGCCAUAAAGGUUACCGAACCCUGUCAAACUCCGAAUGGAUAUACUGCAGAGCCUGGGAGUCAGACUACGAGUGAUAAGAUCCGUGGUCAAAAGGGAAACAGCCCAGACCACCGGCUAAGGUCCCAAAUGCCGUACUAAGUGGAAAAGGAUGUGGGGAUUCAUAAACAACCAGGAUGUUGGCUCAGAAGCAGCCACCAUUUAAAGAGUGCGUAAUAGCUCACUGGUCGAGAGUCCCUGCGCCGAAAAUUUCCGGGGCUAAAGUACGGAACCGAAGCCGUGGCUGUGUACUAAGUACACGGGGUAGGGGAGCGUUGCCACAGGGGUGAAGCUGGUCUGGAAGGACUGGUGGACUUGUGGGAAGUGAGAAUGUUGGUAUGAGUAGCGAAAAGAAAGGUGAGAAUCCUUUCCACCGAAAGCAUAAGGAUUCCUGAGCAACGAUCGUCGUCUCAGGGUAAGUCGGGACCUAAUCCGAGGCAAAGAGCGUAGGAGAUGGACAACAGGUUGAUAUUCCUGUACCGGCAGCAAUUGUUUGAGCGAAGGAGUGACACAGAAGGGCAGGCAGGCGCGAGACUGGAUUGUCGCGUGCAAGCGUGUAGGGUAGUGUACAGGCAAAUCCGUACACUGAAAGCCUGAGGCGUUACGCGGAGCGAGCAGAGAUGCGAGCGAAGCUGCUGAUCCCACACUGUCGAGAAAAGCUUCUAGUGAGAGAGCUGCCGCCCGUACCGUAAACCGACACAGGUAUGCGGGGAGAGAAUCCUAAGGUGCGCGGGAGAACCCUCGUUAAGGAACUCGGCAAAAUGUACCCGUAACUUCGGGAUAAGGGUAGCCGUCUUGGUGAAGGAGCUUGCCUCUGGAGCUGAAGGCGGUCGCAGAGAAGAGGCCCAAGCGACUGUUUACCACAAACACAGGUGCCUGCUAAAGCGAAAGCUGACGUAUAGGUGCUGACACCUGCCCAGUGCUGGAAGGUUAAGGAAGGAUGUCCGGGCAACCAAAGCAUUCGACCGAAGCCCCAGUGAACGGCGGCCGUAACUAUAACGGUCCUAAGGUAGCGAAAUUCCUUGUCGGGUAAGUUCCGACCCGCACGAAAGGUGUAACGAUUUGGGCACUGUCUCAACGAGGGACCCGGUGAAAUUGAAAUACCUGUGAAGAUGCAGGUUACCCGCGACUGGACAGAAAGACCCCAUGGAGCUUUACUGUAACCUGACAUUGGGUUUUGUUGUAUUACGUACAGGAUAGGUGGGAGGCUUGGAAGGCUGGACGCUAGUCUGGCUGGAGCCGUCGUUGGGAUACCACCCUUGAUACAACGGAAUUCUAACCGAGAGAGUAACGAAAUCCGGGACAGUGUCAGGCGGGCAGUUUGACUGGGGCGGUCGCCUCCGAAAGAGUAACGGAGG